rnacentral:rRNA from 1 species
AGAGUUUGAUCCUGGCUCAGGACGAACGCUGGCGGCGUGCCUAAAACAUGCAAGUCGAACGAGAUAGCAAUAUCUAGUGGCGAACGGCGGAGUAAGACGUAAGCAACGUGCCCCGAAGUCUGAGAUAUACAGUCGAAAGACUGGGCAAUACCGGAUACGGCCCUCAGAAGACAUCUUUUGAGGAUUAAAUGGUUUUUCGCUCCGGGAGCGGCUUACGGCCUAUCAGCUAGUUGGUGGGGUAAUAGCCUACCAAGGCAACGACGGGUAGGGGGUCUGAGAGGAUGACCCCCCCGAGUGGGACUGAGACACGGCCCACACACCUACGGGUGGCAGCAGUUGGGAAUCUUGCACAAUGGGGGCAACCCUGAUGCAGCGACGCCGCGUGGAGGACGAAGGAUUUAGGUCUGUAAACUCCUUUUACCAGGAAAGACUUAGGACGGUACCUGGUGAAUAAGCUCCGGCUAACUACGUGCCAGCAGCCGCGGUAAUACGUAGGGAGCGAGCGUUGUCCGGAUUUACUGGGCGUAAAGGGCGCGUAGGCGGCCUGUUAAGUGUGAAGUGAAAUCUCCAGGGCUCAACCCGGAAACUGCUUCGCAUACUGGCAGGCUGGAGGAAGGCAGAGGUGAGUGGAAUUCCCGGCGUAGCGGUGACAUGCAUUGAUAUCGGGAGGAACACCCAUGGCGAAGGCAGCUCACUGGGCCUUUCCUGACGCUGAGGCGCGAAAGCGUGGGUAGCAAACAGAAUUAGAUACUCUGGUAGUCCACGCCCUAAAACGAUGGAUGCUAGGCGUGAGGGGUAUCGACCCCCCUUGUGCCGCAGCUAACGCAUUAAGCAUCCCGCCUGGGGAGUACGGCCGCAAGGUUGAAACUCAAAUGAAUUGACGGGGACCCGCACAAGCGGUGGAGCAUGUGGAUUAAUUCGAUAAUAACCGAAGAACCUUGCCCAGGUUUGACAUCGAGUGUAAAACUAUGAAAGUAGUUCCCUUCCACAAGAAGCACAAAGACAUCUGUUGCAUGGCUGUCGUCAGCUCGUGCCGUGAGGUGUUUGGUUAAGUCCAGCAACGAGCGCAACCCUCGUCCAAUGUUACCAGCGAGUAAAGUCGGGGACUCAUUGGAGACCGCCGGUGCAAGCCGGAGGAAGGUGGGGAUGACGUCAAGUCAGCAUGGCGAUUACGCCUGGGGCUUCACACAUGCUACAAUGGGCGCAACAAAGGGCAGCAAGACCGCGAGGUGGAGCUAAUCCCAAAAAUGCGCCCUCAGUUCAGAUUGCAGUCUGCAACUCGACUGCAUGAAGGUGGAAUCGCUAGUAAACGCAGGUCAGCUAUACUGCGUUGAAUACGUUCCCGGGUCUUGUACACACCGCCCGUCAAGUCACCCGAAUUGUCUGCACCCGAAGUCCGUGGCCCAACCGUAAGGAGGGAGCGGCCGAAGGUGCGGGGGGUAAGGGGGACUAAGUCGUAACAAGGUAACC